AUGAGAUUGUUGUGUCUUCUCCUGUUCCUGAUGACAGCUCCACAAGGUGUCUUGUCCCAGGUGCAGCUGCAGGAGUCAGGACCUGGCCUGGUUAAGCACUCACAAACCCUAUCUCUCAACUGUGGUGUGUCUGGAGUCUCCAUCACAACCAAUCCUUACUUCUGGGACUGGAUCCGUCAGUUCCCAGGGAAGAGUCUAGAGUGGAUGGGUACCAUAUGUUAUUAUGGUAGCACAAGCUACAGCCCAUCCCUCCAGAGCCGCAUCUCCAUAUCUAGAGACACAUCCAAGAAUCAGUUCAACCUGCAGCUGGGCUCCGUAACUACAGAGGACACAGCCAUGUAUUACUGUGCAAGACACACAGUGAGGGAACUUCAGUGUUUACCCAGACAUAAACCUCCUUGCAGGGACCCUCAGGACCACCAGGGUUCAUUCAGGACACACUGA